GUUUGAUCCUGGCUCAGGACGAACGCUGGCGGCGUGCCUAAUACAUGCAAGUCGAGCGAACCACUUCGGUGGUUAGCGGCGGACGGGUGAGUAACACGUGGGCAACCUGCCUGUAAGACUGGGAUAACUUCGGGAAACCGGAGCUAAUACCGGAUAAUCCUUUUCCUCUCAUGAGGRAAAGCUGAAAGACGGUUUCGGCUGUCACUUACAGAUGGGCCCGCGGCGCAUUAGCUAGUUGGUGAGGUAACGGCUCACCAAGGCGACGAUGCGUAGCCGACCUGAGAGGGUGAUCGGCCACACUGGGACUGAGACACGGCCCAGACUCCUACGGGAGGCAGCAGUAGGGAAUCUUCCACAAUGGACGAAAGUCUGAUGGAGCAACGCCGCGUGAGCGAUGAAGGCCUUCGGGUCGUA
rnacentral:rRNA from 1 species